GCGCCGUGCGGAACCGAUGAGCACGGCAUCGACGGGUUCAUAAUCCGCGGGUUCGGGGUUCGAGUCCCUGGCGGCGCACCA
rnacentral:tRNA from 1 species